rnacentral:rRNA from 1 species
AGAGUUUGAUCCUGGCUCAGGAUGAACGCUGGCGGCGUGCUUAACACAUGCAAGUCGAACGAUGAUCCGGUGCUUGCGCCGGGGAUUAGUGGCGAACGGGUGAGUAACACGUGAGUAACCUGCCCUUGACUCUGGGAUAAGCCUGGGAAACUGGGUCUAAUACCGGAUAUGACUCCUCAUCGCAUGGUGGGGGGUGGAAAGCUUUUUGUGGUUUUGGAUGGACUCGCGGCCUAUCAGCUUGUUGGUGGGGUAAUGGCCUACCAAGGCGACGACGGGUAGCCGGCCUGAGAGGGUGACCGGCCACACUGGGACUGAGACACGGCCCAGACUCCUACGGGAGGCAGCAGUGGGGAAUAUUGCACAAUGGGCGAAAGCCUGAUGCAGCGACGCCGCGUGAGGGAUGACGGCCUUCGGGUUGUAAACCUCUUUCAGUAGGGAAGAAGCCCUCUUUGGGGGUGACGGUACUUGCAGAAGAAGCGCCGGCUAACUACGUGCCAGCAGCCGCGGUAAUACGUAGGGCGCAAGCGUUAUCCGGAAUUAUUGGGCGUAAAGAGCUCGUAGGCGGUUUGUCGCGUCUGCUGUGAAAGACCGGGGCUCAACUCCGGUUCUGCAGUGGGUACGGGCAGACUAGAGUGCAGUAGGGGAGACUGGAAUUCCUGGUGUAGCGGUGAAAUGCGCA